GGCUGGACCAAAAGUAGUGAAUUCUCUCAGUUGAUUGUUCACAGUGAGUUACAGAUUUGAAUUCCUGUUCUUUCCUUCUUCCUCACUACUGCACUUGACUAAUCUAAA
rnacentral:Y_RNA from 1 species